rnacentral:rRNA from 1 species
AGCCAGACUCCUACGGGAGGCAGCAGUGGGGAAUAUUGCACAAUGGGGGAAACCCUGAUGCAGCGACGCCGCGUGAGCGAUGAAGUAUUUCGGUAUGUAAAGCUCUAUCAGCAGGGAAGAAAAUGACGGUACCUGACUAAGAAGCCCCGGCUAACUACGUGCCAGCAGCCGCGGUAAUACGUAGGGGGCAAGCGUUAUCCGGAUUUACUGGGUGUAAAGGGAGCGUAGACGGCAAUGCAAGCCAGAUGUGAAAGCCCGGGGCUCAACCCCGGGACUGCAUUUGGAACUGUGUAGCUGGAGUGUCGGAGAGGCAGGCGGAAUUCCUAGUGUAGCGGUGAAAUGCGUAGAUAUUAGGAGGAACACCAGUGGCGAAGGCGACCUGCUGGACGAUGACUGACGUUGAGGCUCGAAAGCGUGGGGAGCAAACAGGAUUAGAUACCCUGGUA